rnacentral:misc_RNA from 1 species
GAUGAAGAACGUAGUGAAAUGCGAUAAGAAUGUGAAUUGCAGAAUUCAGUGAAUCAUCGAAUCUUUGAACGCACAUUGCGCCCGCCAGUAUUCUGGCGGGCAUGCCUGUUCGAGCGUCAUUACAACCCUCAGGCCCCCGGGCCUGGCGUUGGGGAUCGGCGGAAGCCCCCUGCGGGCACAACGCCGUCCCCCAAAUACAGUGGCGGUCCCGCCGCAGCUUCCAUUGCGUAGUAGCUAACACCUCGCAACUGGAGAGCGGCGCGGCCACGCCGUAAAACACCCAACUUCUGAAUGUUGACCUCGAAUCAGGUAGGAAUACCCGCUGAACUUAAGCAUAUCAAUAAGCGGAGGA